rnacentral:rRNA from 1 species
UAUUAGGCUUCCAGGGGAUACUGUUAGACUUGGGACCGGGAGAGGUAAGAGGUACUGCAGGGCUAGGAGUGAAAUCUUGUAAUCCCUGUGAGACCACCAGUGGCGAAGGCGUCUUACCAAAACGGGUCCGACGGUGAGGGACGAAAGCUGGGGGCACGAACCGGAUUAGAUACCCGGGUAGUCCCAGCUGUAAACGAUGCUCGUUAGGUGUCAGGAACGGUGCGACUGUUUCUGGUGCCGAAGGGAAGCCGUGAAACGAGCCACCUGGGAAGUACGGCCGCAAGGCUGAAACUUAAAGGAAUUGGCGGGGGAGCACUACAACGGGUGGAGCCUGCGGUUUAAUUGGACUCAACGCCGGAAAACUCACCGGGGGCGACAGCAAUAUGUAGGUCAGGUUAAAGGUCUUACCUGAAUCGCUGAGAGGAGGUGCAUGGCCGUCGUCAGUUCGUACUGUGAAGCAUCCUGUUAAGUCAGGCAACGAGCAAGACCCGUGCCCACUGUUACCAGCAUAUCCUUUAUGGAUGAUGGGGACUCUGUGGGGACCGCUGCUGCUAAAGCAGAGGAAGGUGCGGGCUACGGUAGGUCAGUAUGCCCCGAAUCUCCCGGGCUACACGCGGGCUACAAUGGUUGGGACAAUGGGUAUCUACUCCGAAAGGAGUUGGCAAUCUCUUAAACCCAAUCGUAGUUCGAAUUGAGGGCUGUAACUCGCCCUCAUGAAGCUGGAAUCCGUAGUAAUCGCGUUUCAACAUAGCGCGGUGA